CCUACGGGAGGCAGCAGUGAGGAAUAUUGGUCAAUGGACGAGAGUCUGAACCAGCCAAGUAGCGUGAAGGAUGACUGCCCUAUGGGUUGUAAACUUCUUUUAUAAAGGAAUAAAACGAGGCACGUGAGCCGUUGUGCAUGUACUUUAUGAAUAAGGAGCGGCUAACCCGGUGCCAGCAGCCGCGUUACUACGGAGGAUACGAGCUUUAUCCGGAUUUCUAGGGUUUAAAGGGUAGGUAGAUGGGUUGUUAAGUCAGUGGUGAAAGUUUGCGGCUCAACCGUAAAAUGGCAAUUGAUACUGGCAGUUUGGAGUACAGUUGAGGUAGGGGGAAGGCGUGGGGAAGCGGUGAACUG
rnacentral:rRNA from 1 species